GAUGAACGCUGACAGCAUGCUUAACACAUGCAAGUCAACUGUGGCGGACGGGUGAGUAACGCGUAAAGAACUUGCCUCACAGUUAGGGACAACAUUUGGAAACGAAUGCUAAUACCUGAUACUGUGAGAGAGCUUUGCGUCCCAUUAGCUAGUUGGCGAGGUAACGGCUCACCAAGGCGAGGAUGGGUAGCCGGCCUGAGCGGGUGAUCGGCCACAAGGGGAAUGAGACACGGCCCUUACUACUACGGGAGGCAGCAGUGGGGAAUAUUGAACAAUGGACCAAAGUCUGAGCAAGCAAUUCGGUGUGCACGAUGAAGGUUUCGGAAGGUAAAGUGCUUUCAGUUGGGAAGCGGUACCAACAGAAGAAGUGACGGCUAAAUACGUGCCAGCCGCCGCGGUAAUUC
rnacentral:rRNA from 1 species